rnacentral:rRNA from 1 species
AGUGAACGCUGGCGGCGUGCUUAACACAUGCAGGUCGAACGAGAACGGAUUAUAGCUUGCUAUAAUUGUCAGCUAAGUGGCGCACGGGUGAGUAAUGUAUAGGUAAUAUGCCUCUUACUAAGGGAUAACAAAUGGAAACGUUUGCUAAUACCUUAUACUCCUUAUUAACAUAAGUUAAUAAGGGAAAGAUUUAUUGGUAAGAGAUUAGACUGUAUUGUAUCAGUUAGUUGGUGGGGUAAUGGCUUACCAAGACUAUGACACAUAACUGGUUUGAGAGGAUGAUUAGUCACACUGGAACUGAGACACGGUCCAGACUCCUACGGGAGGCAGCAGUGGGGAAUAUUGCACAAUGGACGAAAGUCUGAUGCAGCAACGCCGCGUGGAGGAUGACACAUUUCGGUGCGUAAACUCCUUUUAUAUGAGAAGAUAAUGACGGUAUUAUAUGAAUAAGCACCGGCUAACUCCGUGCCAGCAGCCGCAGUAAGAC